rnacentral:rRNA from 1 species
UACGUAGGGGGCAAGCGUUGUCCGGAAUCAUUGGGCGUAAAGAGCGUGUAGGCGGCCCGGUAAGUCCGCUGUGAAAGUCCAGGGCUCAACCCUCGAAUGCCGGUGGAUACUGUCGGGCUUGAGUACGGGAGAGGCGAGUGGAAUUCCUGGUGUAGCGGUGAAAUGCGCAGAUAUCAGGAGGAACACCGAUUGCGAAGGCAGCUCGCUGGAACGUUACUGACGCUGAGACGCGAAAGCGUGGGGAGCAAACAGG